rnacentral:lncRNA from 1 species
CUUAUUUUACUAAAUAUGAGAUUAUUCUUGAUACGCUUUGAUUUGAUUAUUCCUCACUAUUUAAUCAUAUUAUUUUUACGUAUCAAGUUUCAGAUCCCCAGUUUGGCUAUUCACAUCCUUAUUUCACUUUACACACACUUCACAUAUGUAACCACCAAAACCCUCACAAAAACACAUACAGUAAACGAAAACUCCGAAUCAAAUCGAUCUCUCUAUGGCGGAGACUACCGGCGGUGAGAAUUCACAGAAAAACAUAGUGGAAGAAGUUUCUAGACUCUCCGAGCUCACCAAGGAGCUACAAGAAUCGUCAGCGUCGUUAAUCUAGCGUUCAUCGUCGGAGGAGGCUUCGCUCCGGCAACGAGCACUAAUGCUCGAUUUCAACAUAAAAAAUAUCUGUGUUUUAAAUGCUUUCAGGAUUGUAUAUUUGAUUUUGGGUAAUUUUGAAAAACGGAUCCGGAUAUUAUCCGUAUCCGAAUAAUAUCCGGCGAAUACAGAUACGGAUAUUUUUAUUUUAAAAUUUGCGGAUACAGAUCCUGAUUCAGAUACGGUUUUUAUUAGGCGGAUUCGAAUACAGAUAUGGGUAAAUCCGUAUCCGUUUUAUCCGUUUGACA